GAUUCGUUGGGGGCCAACUGUUUCCGCGCGAGCGCCGCCAGCCGCCCUUUCCAAAGGGAAGGCAUUGAAUGCAGCGACAGGUAAAUAAAUAAAUCGGAUGAAAGCCGGUUUCAUUCGCACUGUUGAACUGGCCUACCUGAACCAAAGGUUGUAUUGUUACUUCUAAACCAAAGAGGAUAUUCAAGUGAAAUGAAUGAUCAUACUCUACGCUUUGCAUCUAGAAUGUUGUCAACAGAUGAGAACGUACUAGAAAUAUUCCCAAUGUAUAUGAAUACCAUUCCUGCAUCAAUUAAAUUAAAAAUAUGGAUAUGGAUUAAGUUAAAGAUGGAUCUAAUAAUCCUAUGACAUUUUUAAAAUUAAAAACAAUUGCCUCAUCUAUCCUGAGGGCUCUCAGCUGUAAAGAAUGGAAUUACACAAGUGCCGCAAGCUAUCCAGUCCUUUAAGAGACUAUUUUUGUGAACUCAGAUAAUGAGUGCCAGUAGCUAUUUAGGACUAUUAGGACAAAGUUGUAACUACUUGUUCGGGUGCAGUUGUACUCGAUUAUGGAAGGUUCAGAAAUAAUCCUGUCAUCACCCAUCCUGCAGAGACAUUUAACUUCCAGCAACAUCCACUGGUAACAGUAUGGGAAAAGGGCUCACAGACAUGAACACUGGUCAGCAAAGAUCUUACUACACGAUUCCCAUUUUCCAGCUCUUAGUUGAGAGCCCUGAAGGUUAUGACAAUUAGAAGAUUUGUAGUUGAUAUACUAGCGACUUAAGAGUAAUGGAUGUUUGCCAAGCAACAGAGAUUGGAAUGAAGGCCUCAAACAUCUGAGUUAUGUAAAAUCCAGCAAGAGCAACCAGCAAAGAGAAACAUCAGGCUUUGAACUGAGGAAGUGCAAUUAAGCACUUCAAGGGAUGAGAAUAAACAAGCACCACUCCAAACUUAAAGGAAAUAGAGAUGAAAAUUUGUCUAUAUCUGUCAACUUUUCCAAUCCAUACCUCGACCAUGAUUACACAUCUCCAGAUAAAGAAAAUCUACUCACAGUCAUAAUGAAGAAUUUGAAGAAACCAAAGGUAGUGUCAGUUCUGAGUUCAUAUUGUGAGAUGAGCUUUUGAUCUGUCCAUGGACAUAGAUAGGGCAUGUUGCAUUUGCAAUGAUGGACUUGGUGAAAGAACUUCCCCAACCACGUUCCCAUAAUUAAAUUAAACCAAGGUGGCAGAGAUCUUCUGAAUUUAAUGAGAUUUUUUUUCUUGUUCCUUCUCAUGUGUGCAAAUGGGCAGCAAAAAUCUGCAUAGUUACUCUGGGGAACAGACCACGGAAACAGUGAUCUUGAGAUGGGGGUUGAUUGCAGUCAUGGUGGAGGUGAGAGGUAAACCUCAGUUAGCAGAAGAAGCACUUCUAUUUGUUCCUACAAAUUGCUUUCUGGAACCAUCAAGUAACUCAUCCCUUUGACUGCAAAAACCAUGCCCUCACUGUAAAACGUAAAUUGGGCAUUCCAUUGUAUAAUAUUUUAGUAUGCUUAUGGACUGCUGUUUUUUCAAGACCGAACAUUCACACAGCUUUAAAAUGCACUGACAUAAAAAUGGUGACAAAUGUAAAUGUGAGCUGGUGAUGUGCUUUGUUUAGACUUUAACAUCCUCCUCAUGCCCAAGAAAUAAAACUGAGACAUAGAAAACAUCACAAUAUUCAGUUCUUAAAACAAAAUAUAGUAUUCCUAAAUGCUUAGUCCAUAAUGAGAGCGUAAUUAAUAUGUAGAAAAGCUUCCGAGGUAAACUGUGAUGUGAUAUGAGUUGUUAUGCACUGGUAUUCUGCUAGGAGGUUGGAACUAGUACAACCCUGCAUGCUGCUCUGGAGCCAUACCAUCAUGUACAAUCUAUUAAUAAACCUUCUUUAAAACUAACCUCAAUGUCUGGCCUGAGUUUAUAUGAAGAUCUAAAGAACCUAUAUUAGAAAACACUGACUUAUAUAGCUGGACGGAAAUAAAAAGAAGUUCCUCC